rnacentral:rRNA from 1 species
UACGGAGGGGACUAGCGUUGUUCGGAAUUACUGGGCGUAAAGCGCACGUAGGCGGAUUUGUAAGUCAGGGGUGAAAGCCCGGAGCUCAACUCCGGGAUUGCCUUGGAUACGGGAUGACUUGAGGAUCGGAGAGGCAAGGGGAAUUCCACGUGUAGCGGUGAAAUGCGUAGAGAUGUGGAGGAACACCUGUGGCGAAGGCGCCUUGCUGGCCGAUUUCUGACGCUGAGGCGCGAAAGCGUGGGGAGCAAACAGG